rnacentral:rRNA from 1 species
UACGGAGGGUGCAAACGUUGCUCGGAAUCAUUGGGCGUAAAGCGCACGUAGGCGGCUCGUUAAGUCGGAUGUGAAAGCCCUCGGCUCAACCGAGGAAGUGCAUACGAAACUGGCGAGCUUGAAUAUGGAAGAGGGUCGCGGAAUUCCCGGUGUAGAGGUGAAAUUCGUAGAUAUCGGGAGGAACACCAGUGGCGAAGGCGGCGACCUGGGCCAAUAUUGACGCUGAGGUGCGAAAGCCAGGGGAGCGAACAGG